CUACGGGGUGCAGCAGUGGGGAAUAUUGCACAAUGGGCGCAAGCCUGAUGCAGCAACGCCGCGUGAACGAAGAAGGUUUUCGGAUCGUAAAGUUCUUUUCUUGGGGAAGAAACCAUGACGGUACCCAAGGAAUAAGCACCGGCUAACUACGUGCCAGCAGCCGCGGUAAUACGUAGGGUGCAAGCGUUAUCCGGAAUCACUGGGCGUAAAGGGUGCGUAGGCGGUUUUACAAGUCAGAAGUGAAAGGCAAUGGCUCAACCAUUGUAAGCUUUUGAAACUGUAAGACUUGAAUGCAGGAGAGGUAAGUGGAAUUCCUAGUGUAGCGGUGAAAUGCGUAGAUAUUAGGAGGAACACCAGUGGCGAAGGCGACUUACUGGACUGUUAUUGACGCUGAGGCACGAAAGCGUGGGGAGCGAACAGGAUUAGAUACCCUCGUAGUC
rnacentral:rRNA from 1 species